rnacentral:misc_RNA from 1 species
AUUUGGAUUGUUUAUUUGGGAUCCAUAAAAUAUUGGUGCACCAAGUAGGAAGAAAAACAGAGUUGGAAAGAGAGUUCUUUUUCAUCAAUAUGUUUUCUGCCCAUAUGUUUUAAGGUUUAAGCUUUGUGGUCCAUGAAUCUUAGGUUGGGGGGAAGAGUAUGGAGAGAUCCUUAUUUGCAGAUGAUGUGGUUCUGAAGUUUACAGUUUUAUCUCAUAAUAUCAAGGGAUUAAAUGA